GAUGAAGAACGCAGUGAAAUGCGAUAAGUAAUGUGAAUUGCAGAAUUCAGUGAAUCAUCGAAUCUUUGAACGCACCUUGCGCUCCUUGGUAUUCCUUGGAGCAUGCCUGUUUGAGUAUCAUGAAAUUCUCAAAGUAAAUCUUUUUGUUAAUUCAAUUGGGUUCACUUUGGAUUUGGAGGUUUUUUGCAGCUUCACACCUGCUCCUCUUUGUGCAUUAGCUGGAUCUCAGUGUUAUGCUUGGUUCCACUCGGCGUGAUAAGUUAUCUAUCGCUGAGGACACUUUUUUGUUUUUUUUUUCUAAAAAAAAUGAAUAACUAAGUGGCCAAGGGAAAUGCAGAUGAACCGCUUCCAAUAGUCCAUUAGCUUGGACAAAUAUAUUUUUAUGAUCUGAUCUCAAAUCAGGUAGGACUACCCGCUGAACUUAAGCAUAUCAAUAAGCGGAGGA
rnacentral:misc_RNA from 1 species